GUGGGGAAUAUUCCGCAAUGGACGAAAGUCUGACGGAGCAACGCCGCGUGAGUGAUGAAGGUUUUCGGACUGUAAAGCUCUGUUGUUUAGGACGAAAGUGCCUGUUGCAAAUAGUUACAGGUAUUGACGGUACUGAACGAGGAAGCCACGGCUAACUACGUGCCAGCAGCCGCGGUAAUACGUAGGUGGCAAGCGUUGUCCGGAAUUAUUGGGCGUAAAGAGCAUGUAGGCGGGAAUCUAAGUCUGUUGUGAAAAUGCGGGGCUCAACCCCGUAUUGCGAUGGAAACUGGGUUUCUUGAGUGCAGGGGAGGAAAGGGGAAUUCCCAGUGUAGCGGUGAAAUGCGUAGAUAUUGGGAGGAACACCAGUGGCGAAGGCGCCUUUCUGGACUGUGUCUGACGCUGAGAUGCGAAAGCCAGGGUAGCGAACGGGAUUAGAUACCCUAGUAGUCC
rnacentral:rRNA from 1 species